GAACGCUGGCGGCGUGCCUAAUACAUGCAAGUAGAACGCUGAAGGAGGAGCUUGCUUCUCUGGAUGAGUUGCGAACGGGUGAGUAACGCGUAGGUAACCUGCCUGGUAGCGGGGGAUAACUAUUGGAAACGAUAGCUAAUACCGCAUAAGAGUAGAUGUUGCAUGACAUUUGCUUAAAAGGUGCAAUUGCAUCACUACCAGAUGGACCUGCGUUGUAUUAGCUAGUUGGUGGGGUAACGGCUCACCAAGGCGACGAUACAUAGCCGACCUGAGAGGGUGAUCGACCACACUGGACUGAGACACGGCCCAGACUCCAACGGGAGGCAGCAGUAGGGAAUCUUCGGCAAUGGGGGCAACCCUGACCGAGCAACGCCGCGUGAGUGAAGAAGGUUUUCGGAUCGUAAAGCUCUGUUGUAAGUCAAGAACGAGUGUGAGAGUGGAAAGUUCACACUGUGACGGUAGCUUACCAGAAAGGGACGGCUAACUACGUGCCAGCAGCCGCGGUAAUACGUAGGUCCCGAGCGUUGUCCGGAUUUAUUGGGCGUAAGGCGAGCGCAGGCGGUUUGAUAAGUCUGAAGUUAAAGGCUGUGGCUCAACCAUAGUUCGCUUUGGAAGCUGUCAAACUUGAGUGCAGAAGGGGAGAGUGGAAUUCCAUGUGUAGCGGUGAAAUGCGUAGAUAUAUGGAGGAACACCGGUGGCGAAAGCGGCUCUCUGGUCUGUAACUGACGCUGAGGCUCGAAAGCGUGGGGAGCGAACAGGAUUAGAUACCCUGGUAGUCCACGCCGUAAACGAUGAGUGCUAGGUGUUGGAUCCUUUCCGGGAUUCAGUGCCGCAGCUAACGCAUUAAGCACUCCGCCUGGGGAGUACGACCGCAAGGUUGAA
rnacentral:rRNA from 1 species